GGGUGCUAGCUCUCUUACAAAGAUCGCAUUUUGACAGUUAAAAUUUUUCUUUUCUCUCAAGAUACUCUUAGAGAAGAAGAAGAUGAUAGGAGGAUCUUGAUCUCUAUGCUAGAGAUCAUGAGAAGAAUCUUUUCUUCUCUUUUCUUCCUAAAAUUCAUGUAUCAAAUCUCUACAAUAGAUAUGUAAAAAUUUUGUCCAACUUUUGGACAAAAAG
rnacentral:lncRNA from 1 species